ACAAUUCUUUUCUUUUCUUUUUCUUUUUCGUUCCCUUUCCCUUCCCCUCUCCUUUCACGUGCAGCAGCCCUAAGCCCUCUUCCCCGAUUCGAGCCGUCGCCCAGCCACCACGCUCCGUCACUCGUCCUCCGCGAGCCUGCCGCCUCGCCUCUUCAGCCGACCCAGCCCACUCUCGUCACGUCUCCGCAGAAGCUCAGCCCCUCGCCAUUUUUGCCUAACCGAAACCCACUCAGUCAUCCUUUCCCUUCAGUAGCGCGCCACCUUUGCCAAGACCCGAUCUGCGCUUCAGUCGUCAUUUCUGACUUUAGCUUUCGGCCGCCCCUCCAUGCUCGCCUAGCUGCCGAUCGAAACGCAGCUACUACUACAACCGUCGACUCCAGCUCUAUCUCUGUUUCACCACUGCUGUAGCCAAGGUAUCGCCUGCGUCUGCACUGUUUGCAGCGGUCCGACCAGCUUCAUCCGUCCAGUUGUGCCGUUUUCUUUCUUUCGGUCACGACCGUCGCCGCUGCUGUCAUUUGGGUCUCGUUGGAUUCUUGAAUAAUUUGGAUUCAAGGAUUGGAAAUUUUGAGACAUUGCUUUGGAGUUUGAGACUAUUUCCGAUAGAAAUUGUUCAGAUUUGGUAGGAUUUGGGACUAGAGUUGUUGGAUUGUAUUGAUUUUGUAGCAUGGGGUGCGUUCGGACCAACACACUUUAGUCCUGAUUCAAGAUUCAUCUAGGCUAGGAGGAAGAUUAUUUUGCUCGUCGCUUAGACAUAAUUUUGGGUAAGUGUAGAGAUGCACCGGCGAUGGCGCAGCGGAAUUCAUGAUCGUGUCACUGGGACUAGUUUUUACGCUUCCGCAUCAUGACAUUUAGAGUCCUUAUUUUUUUCCUUAAUGUUUAUUUUUACUGUCUUACACUUAUUAUUACGGAUUAUUUCUUUUAUAUACUU